rnacentral:misc_RNA from 1 species
CCAACACCAAUCAACAUUAGACACGAAUCACUUUGAUGCACAUAUGGGUGCAUGACUGCGCAAUAUAUUUUGUUUUAUGUUUUUUGAGAACUGAAUGACAACUAAUUGACGUUUAUUUUUGAUAUUCAUUUCGUUAAUGUUAUUUUGGAUGAGCAGGUAAACAUUGCUAAUAUAAGUGACGACGACGAUGAUGAAGAUGAUGAUGAUGAUGGUGAUG